rnacentral:snoRNA from 3 species
CUGUGUGAGUUGCUUUCUGCUGUAAAUAUGGACAUAUAAUAAGGUUGAUGGAAUUUAGGUGAGCAUCAUGUGACAUAGAGAGUAGUAGAAUUUAGAUUCUCAUGAAGACCCAUCACACAUAC